AGAGCAGAUCACCUUAUCGCUUUCCGCAUUAUGCGGGAGGAGGAAAGUCCGGACACCAUAGUGCAGCAUAGCGGGUAACACCCGUCGUUCCGCAACAGCGGAAUAGGACAAGUGCAGCAGAAAGUAUGUACAGGUAAGGCUGUAGUGAAAUCAGGUAAACUCUAUGCGGUGAAACGCCAUGUAUAUCAGCGGUUGAGGGCGGCACGCCCGAGUUGAAGGGUAGGCGGCUAGAAUGUUGGGGUAACUCAACAUCCAGAUAAAUGAUAGGGGCCCUGAGGGGAACAGAAUCCGGCUUAUGAUCUGCUUUUUUA
rnacentral:RNase_P_RNA from 1 species